GACAAGCCACAGUAACUAACAUUCAGGGACUGUGACAAGGACUUUACAAGGCAACACGUUUUUUAGUCCUCACUAUAGUUCUUGGGACUAUUGUUACCAGGUCCAGCGCAUAAAGCACAGGGACGUGACGUAACUUGCCUAAGGUCACAUAAGUUAGAAAGUAGAGGAGCCAGGACUGGAACUCAGGCUGUCUGGUUCUCCUAUCUUCUGGUUAACUAGAUCACCUAAGACCAGGGGGUAAGAGCCUGGUGAUGGAAGGGCUGUGACGGAGCAGGUGUGGGAGCCCAGAAGAAACACCUGGUCUUGCUUUUGAUGCGGGAAGGGGUCGGCAAAACCUCUUCAGUGCCUCGGCUGUGUGUAGAAUUAUUUAUUUUAACUUUACAUGAUAGCUGAAGAAUUUCUAAUAGCUUCACAUUACCCAUGGUUACAACUUUAAGUCAUGCGUAUCACUCCAGCAAGAGGCAGUGCUAUUCUUUAUUGUGGGGCAAUUGCAUGCUUGCAAUUUUGAUGUUCUCUCUCAUGCUGCCAGGAGUCAGUUCCGAAACUCAGUGGAGGAAUGAAAUGCUUCAGAACUCGGGCUCCAGACCUGAGUUCAAAUCCCAGCUCCUCCAGUUGGCUCUCAGGGUUCUACAUGCCCGGGACAAGGAGUAUCCCCAAAGUCACUAAGGUGGUUAGGUAAGUGAAUGAUAACUAGAAGGCCCUGUCCUCCUUCCCCCUCCAUGCCUUGGUGCCAGGUGGGACCCAGACUCCCCGGCUCAGCAGGUUCUUGGGAAUUAGGUUGGUUUAAGAAAAUAAAGAACUGUGAUAUUUCAACAAGAAACUAGUAACAGUAGUUGCCUCUGGAGAGGGAGACUGGAUGGCUGGUAGACUGAGUGAGAGGGGUAUUUUUCUUGCAGAUCUUUCAUACCUUUCCAGUUGGUACCAUAUGGGAUUAUUAUCUAGUAAAUAAACAUUGAAAAAAGCUUAAAAGAAGAAAAUGCAUUCUUUCUGCAUAUCUGUCUGUGGACUAAGCUUUAUUGAAUGUAUUCAUUUUCUUUAUUCACCUCAACAUCAUGCAAAGUAGUUAUUGUUGCCCCUGCCUGACAAAUAAGGAAACUGAGGCCCAGACAGGGGCAGUGACUCGCCCGAGGUCACAUGAAUUCACUUCCUUGUAUCGUCCCUUCUGCAGUGAAGAGGGCUGACCUGUGUGACAAUAACAUGUUGGAGAAGCGACAGUGUGUGUGACUUCCAAGGUGGGAUAGUGAAAAGACACAGUGACAAUAGAAAAGGAAGAGGAUUCUGAUACAUACUACUACCACCUCAUGGAUGAACAUGGAGGACCUUAUGCUGAGUGAAAUAAGUUAGUCACAAAAAGACAGUAGGACUCCACUUACAUGAGGUAGCUCGAAUGGUCAAAUUCAUAGAGACAGAGGAUAGAAUGGUUGCCAGAGGACAUGGGGAGAGGAGAUGAGGAGUUCUUGUUCAGUGGGUACAGAAUUUCAGUUUCGCAAGUUGAAAUUUAUGGAGAAGACUGGUGGUCAUGGCUGCACAACAAUAGGAGUCUACUUAAUAUCUGAACUGUACACUUACAAUGGCUGGAGAUGGUAACGUUUGGGUUAUGUGUGUUUUUCCAUAAUAAAAAAAACUUGGGGGGAUAAA